UACGGAGGGCGCUAGCGUUGUUCGGAAUUACUGGGCGUAAAGCGCGCGUAGGCGGCUUUGUAAGUUAGAGGUGAAAGCCCGGAGCUCAACUCCGGAACUGCCUUUAAAACUGCAUCGCUUGAAUCCAGGAGAGGUGAGUGGAAUUCCGAGUGUAGAGGUGAAAUUCGUAGAUAUUCGGAAGAACACCAGUGGCGAAGGCGGCUCACUGGACUGGUAUUGACGCUGAGGUGCGAAAGCGUGGGGAGCAAACAGG
rnacentral:rRNA from 1 species